GACGAACGCUGGCGGCGUGCCUAAUACAUGCAAGUCGAGCGAAUGGAUUAAGAGCUUGCUCUUAUGAAGUUAGCGGCGGACGGGUGAGUAACACGUGGGUAACCUGCCCAUAAGACUGGGAUAACUCCGGGAAACCGGGGCUAAUACCGGAUAACAUUUUGAACCGCAUGGUUCGAAAUUGAAAGGCGGCUUCGGCUGUCACUUAUGGAUGGACCCGCGUCGCAUUAGCUAGUUGGUGAGGUAACGGCUCACCAAGGCAACGAUGCGUAGCCGACCUGGGAGGGUGAUCGGCCACACUGGGACGGAGACACGGCACAGACUCCUACGGGAGGCAGCAGUAGGGAAUCUUCCGAAAUGGACGAAAGUCUGACGGAGCAACGCCGCGUGAGUGAUGAAGGCUUCCGGGUCGUAAAACUCUGUUGUUAGGGAAGAACAAGUGCUAGUUGAAUAAGCUGGCACCUUGACGGUACCUAACCAGAAAGCCACGGCUAACUACGUGCCAGCCGCCGCAGUAA
rnacentral:rRNA from 1 species